GAUGAACGCUGGCGGCGUGCCUAAUACAUGCAAGUCGAGCGAAUGGAUUAAGAGCUUGCUCUUAUGAAGUUAGCGGCGGACGGGCGAGUAACACGUGGGUAACCUGCCCAUAAGACUGGGAUAACUCCGGGUAACCGCGGCUAAUAUCGGAUAACAUUUUGAACCGCACGCUUCGUAAUUCAAAGGCGCCUAUGGCUGUCACUGCUGGAUGGUCCCGCGUCGCAUUAGCUAGUUGGUGAGGUAACGGCUCACCAAGGCAACGAUGCGUAGACAACCUGAGAGGGUGAUCGGCCACACUGGGACUGAGACACGGCCCAGACUGCUACGGGAGGCAGCAGUAGGGAAUCUUCCGCGAAGGACGAAAGUCUGACGGAGCAACGCCGCGUGAGUGAUGAAGGCUUUCGGGUCGUAAAACUCUGUUGUUAGGGAAGAACAAGUGCUAGUUGAAUAAGCUGGCACCUUGACGGUACCUAACCAGAAAGCCACGGCUAACUACGUGCCAGCCGCCGCAGUAA
rnacentral:rRNA from 1 species